CACUUUUAUUUCACUUUUUUGGUACAUCCAGAAGUUCUAACUGACAAAAGAGGCUCACUGGACAGCAUGUUCUACAAACAGGUUUCAUAUCCAAAUAUAGAAUUUACCGAGCCGAAACAUCAGUGUCUACAUUCACAUUUAUGAUAUCUGGAUUACAUGAGAGCUUUACAGCAAUGGAAAGCCUGCUCUGAACAUAGUUAUCUCUCUUUCAUCAAAUUGUCUGGCAUAAAUGCUAGGAAAAAAAAAAAA